GACGAACGCUGGCGGCGUGCCUAAUACAUGCAAGUCGAACGAGAGCAACCGGUGCUUGCACUGGUCAAUCUAGUGGCGAACGGGUGAGUAACACGUGGGUAACCUGCCCAUCAGAGGGGGAUAACAUCCGGAAACGGAUGCUAAAACCGCAUAGGUCUUCGAACCGCAUGGUUUGAAGAGGAAAAGAGGCGCAAGCUUCUGCUGAUGGAUGGACCCGCGGUGCAUUAGCUAGUUGGUGAGGUAACGGCUCACCAAGGCCGUGAUGCAUAGCCGACCUGAGAGGGUGAUCGGCCACAUUGGGACUGAGACACGGCCCAAACUCCUACGGGAGGCAGCAGUAGGGAAUCUUCCGCAAUGGACGCAAGUCUGACGGAGCAGCGCCGCGUGAGUGAAGAAGGUUUUCGGAUCGUAAAACUCUGUUGUUAGAGAAGAACAAGUGCUAGAGUAACUGUUAGCGCCUUGACGGUAUCUAACCAGAAAGCCACGGCUAACUACGUG
rnacentral:rRNA from 1 species